rnacentral:rRNA from 1 species
CAACGCCGCGUGAGGGACGAAGGCCUCUGGGCUGUAAACCUCUUUUCUCAAGGAAGAAGACAUGACGGUACUUGAGGAAUAAGCCACGGCUAAUUCCGUGCCAGCAGCCGCGGUAAUACGGGAGUGGCAAGCGUUAUCCGGAAUUAUUGGGCGUAAAGCGUCCGCAGGCGGCCUUGAAAGUCUGUUGUUAAAGCGUGGAGCUCAACUCCAUUUCAGCAAUGGAAACUACAAGGCUAGAGUGUGGUAGGGGCAGAGGGAAUUCCCGGUGUAGCGGUGAAAUGCGUAGAUAU